UACGAGGGGGGCGAGCGUUGUUCGGAAUUAUUGGGCGUAAAGGGCGCGUAGGCGGUCGGAUAAGUCUUGUGUGAAAUCUUCGGGCUCAACUCGAAGUCUGCACAGGAAACUAUCUGGCUUGAGUGUGGGAGAGGUGAGUGGAAUUCCUGGUGUAGCGGUGAAAUGCGUAGAUAUCAGGAGGAACACCGGUGGCGAAGGCGGGUCUCUGGGCCGAUACUGACGCUGAGGAGCGAAAGCGUGGGGAGCGAACAGG
rnacentral:rRNA from 1 species